UAGAGUUUGAUCCUGGCUCAGAAUGAACGUUGGCGGCGUGCUUAACACAUGCAAGUCGAACGAGAACACCAUAGCUUGCUAUGGUAAGUAAAGUGGCGCACGGGUGAGUAAUGCGUGGGUAAUCUGCCCUUGAAUUUGGGAUAACAUUGCGAAAGCGAUGCUAAUACCGGAUGAGGUCUUUAUACCAUAAGGUGUAGGGAUGAAAGGUGGCCUCUAUAUAUAAGCUACUGUUUGAGGAUGAGCCCGCGUACCAUUAGCUAGUUGGUGGGGUAAAGGCCUACCAAGGCAGCGAUGGUUAGCUGGUCUGAGAGGAUGAUCAGCCACACUGGAACUGACACACGGUCCAGACUCCUACGGGAGGCAGCAGUGAGGAAUUUUGCGCAAUGGGGGAAACCCUGACGCAGCAACGCCGCGUGAGUGAUGAAGGCUUUCGGGUCGUAAAGCUCUGUCAAAUGGGAAGAAUCUCUAGUAAUUUAAUAAAUUAUUAGACUGACGGUACCAUUAAAGGAAGCACCGGCUAACUCCGUGCCAGCAGCCGCGGUAAUACGGAGGGUGCAAGCGUUAUUCGGAAUUAUUGGGCGUAAAGAGCGCGUAGGCGGUUUAGUAAGUCAGAUGUGAAAGCCCGGGGCUUAACCCCGGAAGAGCAUUUGAAACUGUUAGACUUGAGUAUGGGAGAGGGAAGUGAA
rnacentral:rRNA from 1 species